ACAGCCAUACCAUGCUAAAUAUACCGGUUCUCGUUAGAUCACCGAAGUCAAGCAUCAUUGGGCGCGGUCAGUAUUUGGGUGGGUGACCACCUGGGAACACCGCGUGAUGUU
rnacentral:rRNA from 1 species